rnacentral:rRNA from 1 species
GACGAACGCUGGCGGCGUGCCUAAUACAUGCAAGUCGAACGCAGUGGGGACGGGUGAGUAACACGUGGGUAACCUCCCAUCCUAGGGGAUAACACCUGGCAACAGGUGCUAAACCGACACUGAUGGAUGAACCCGCGGUGCAUUAGCUAGUUGGUGAGGUAACGGCUAACCAAGGCCACGAUGCCUAGCCGACGUGAGAGGGUGAUCGGCCACACUGGGACUGAGACACGGCCCAGAUUCCUACGGGAGGCAGCAGUAGGGAAUCUUCGGCAAUGGACGAAAUUCUGACCGAGCAACGCCGCGUGAGUGAAGAAGGUUUUCGGAUCGUAAAACUCUGUUGUUAGAGAAGCGGUAUCUAACCAGAAAGCCACGGCUAACUCCGUGCCAGCAGCCGCGGUAAUUC